UACGGAGGGUGCAAGCGUUAUCCGGAUUCACUGGGUUUAAAGGGUGCGUAGGCGGACAGGUAAGUCAGUGGUGAAAUCUCUGGGCUUAACCCAGAAACUGCCGUUGAUACUAUUUGUCUUGAAUAUCCUGGAGGUAGGCGGAAUAUGUCAUGUAGCGGUGAAGUGCUUAGAUAUGACAUAGAACACCGAUAGCGAAGGCAGCUUACUACAGGAUGAUUGACGCUGAGGCACGAAAGCGUGGGGAGCAAACAGG
rnacentral:rRNA from 1 species